GAACCCGUAGCUCAGAGGUAGAGCGUGUGAUUCCAGUUAGGGACUUCCACAAGGUCAUCCGUUCAAUCCGGGUCGGGUUCA
rnacentral:tRNA from 1 species